AGAAUCACAGAAUUACAGAGGUUAGUCUUUUAACAAAUAUUUACUAAAAACUAACUCUGUGCCUAGAAUUCCACUGGGCACAAAAGACAUAAAAAUAAUAGAUGUCAAGCCUUGACCUAAAAUAGUUAUAACCUUGGUUUGGAGGUUGGGGAAGAUAGACCUAUAAUUUAUUAUGCAAUUUAUUAAGACUACCAGGAAGUUCUGUGAACACCAAAACAGACGUACAGCAAAUGUCCACCGGGGACAUCAAGGCAGUGGAGUGAACUCUAGUGGAGUGUAACAGGGGAGGGACAAGGGAGCUUCUCCGAUGGCACAUGCGCAGAGAACAAGGGCACCGCCGCGGUCGAUAGUUCCGGGAAAAUGGACGGCCUCGUCCGCCUAAUGGAUCUCUCCAAUUCCCUUCAUCGGGAUCCAACUUGGGAUUAGUCACGCGGCAGAUUUUUCAACAGUCCCUCUAGACUCUGCUUUCUUUCAAAGCAAUAUGUUAAAUGUCAGCUGAGAAAUUCAGCUUACUUUCAUGA